rnacentral:rRNA from 1 species
UGGGGAAUAUUGGACAAUGGGCGAAAGCCUGAUCCAGCCAUGCCGCGUGUGUGAAGAAGGUCUUCGGAUUGUAAAGCACUUUAAGUUGGGAGGAAGGGCAGUAAGCUAAUACCUUGCUGUUUUGACGUUACCGACAGAAUAAGCACCGGCUAACUCUGUGCCAGCAGCCGCGGUAAUACAGAGGGUGCAAGCGUUAAUCGGAAUUACUGGGCGUAAAGCGCGCGUAGGUGGUUUGUUAAGUUGGAUGUGAAAGCCCCGGGCUCAACCUGGGAACUGCAUCCAAAACUGGCAAGCUAGAGUACGGAAGAGGGUGGUGGAAUUUCCUGUGUAGCGGUGAAAUGCGUAGAUAUAGGAAGGAACACCAGUGGCGAAGGCGACCACCUGGACUGAUACUGACACUGAGGUGCGAAAGCGUGGGGAGCAAACA